rnacentral:lncRNA from 1 species
UUGUGCUAUCUAAAUAUAUUAUAACAUUAACCCCCAGUACUCAGGACCUUGCGCUUGCGAGGCAGGUGCAGUGCCACUGAGCUAUAUUUUACUAAAAUGUAUACACAGAUAAUAAAAAAAACAAAAAGGAAAAACACACUCAGCACCAUUGGGAUAUGACGCUUUAUCAUGCAAUUUGAGAGGUAACAUUUGACAAGCUAACUAAAGUUGCAUUUUCCCUCUUACCUAACUGUUCCACUGCUUAAAUCCUCCCACACCUCAAGGCAACGUGGGCUUCAGAGUCCCGCAGAGGCGCCACCUCCAAGUCUCACAGAGUUCGGUCAUCAUCACUUUUCUGCUCCCCGGGGCCCAGCGGCCCCAGGUUGUGCAGACCCCGAGUGGAGUGGCCGAGGCACCCCCGUGCCAUCUAAUAGAUGCGCACGACAGGCUGUCUGUGACGUCUUUGGGAUGUGGAAAUGGGGACCCCAGCAGGGCGCUCAGACUUGCAGCCUGGAGACCAGAGAGGGGCGUGAAUGUGGGAGGAAUCGGCUGGCAGGAGCCGGAGCAUGGGGCAGGGAGAAGUUGAAGUGGUAGUCAUGUCGCCCAGAAGUUACCUGGAAGCCCUUUCAGCGCCCCGUGGUUUGGGAGAGCAGAGUCCAGCGCCGUGCCCUGGCCUGUGCUGCCCUCUCGAGGUCCAGGCCGAGCACCGACCCAAAGAGCCCGGUCCUAACACCGGAGAGAGCCAGCGACACGGCCCCCGAUCCUUUGCGUCUGACAAAAGACCAGACGAGGCACCUAGGUCGACAUAUAGGGCAGGGCGUUCGUGGAGUUCGUUGCAAAAAUAAAAGAUUUUCAGAACGGCAGUCGCGCUGAGCGCGGUCUUGGGUUACAUUGAUACGGCGGAAAAAGAACUGGGUCUUUCAAGGAGUGUCCUUUCCUUCCCCGAGGUACUGUCCUCUUUGAGGGAAAACGGUCUGCGCCGACCCAGUAGGUCCUUCCUUCGCGACCUGGAGGUCUGGACCCUCCCAGCGCUCUCAGAGGAGCUCACAUUCUCAGGGGCUGAAGCUUGAAGCCGCAGGUUUGCAUGGAUUUGGUCUACAGCUAACGAUUAAGAAAGCGAAGGAAAAAGGAAAAGAACCCGUCGCGUCUUCUUUGCUUUUAGAAAAGCCCCCAGCCGCCUGUGACCAGCUUCCCGCCUAACGCCCCAGGCCAGCAGCUGAAGUCCCGGCUGUCGCAGCCGCGGGCGGCCUCCCCCAGGGCCCCCGGGACCGCGAGGUCGUCUUUGCGUCCUUCCCCAGCGCAGCGGGACCCCUUCUUUGGGAACCUCCUCUGUCCUGUCGGGUCCUCCUCACGCUGAGGCCGGACCCGCUGGGCCCUCCCGACGGAGCCCCGUAAGGAGCGGCGGGCGGACAAGCGGCAGGGAGGAGGUGUCCGGAGUCCCGGUCGGGACCCGGGUCGGAGCGGAAAGCGGUGGACCGGUGACGUAGGCUAAGGACUGAGCCUCCCUCAGCCGAGGCGUCUGCUUGAGCCUCCCCCUCCCCCUCGGCCCUGCGCGCUCCUGGGCGCCUCAGCCUCAGGGCGCAAGGACGCC